ensembl:misc_RNA Metazoa_SRP Metazoan signal recognition particle RNA
GCCGGGUGUGGUGGCGCACAUCUGUAAUCCCAGCUACUCGGGAGGCUGAGGCAGGAGAAUUGCUGGAACCCAGGAGGCAGAGGCUGCAUGAGCCGAGAUCAUGCCACUGCACUUCUGCCUGGGUGACACGGCAAGACUCUGUCUCAA